AAAAAUGAGGUUCUUGUUAGCUAAAGAAGAAGGGUUAAAAGCCUUUGGUUGUAAA
rnacentral:sRNA from 1 species